GUGCAAGCAUGCUGCUGCACUAUUGCUAUGGUUGCACAGAAGGUCUGAGCAGCCUCCAAUUACGUCCGUCACAUGCUAUUGGAAGAAGUUGAAAUUAUCUACAUGUGCUUCUGGAAAAUCUUUCAUAAAAGCCAAAGAAAUGGGUCAAGUUUCAGUCAAUAACAGUUUCUCUCAAGUAAGCAGCUUUUUUAUUUAAAGAGAUUGAAAAGAAGUUAAAUGUGUGUUACAAUAAUAACUGCAUAUUUUUAGGUGGAUAUUUUAAAAGAAUUUGUAGAUGCUGUCAAUAAAAAAGAUUGCCGGGGAAGUAUUCUUCGCUACUUUCAUGAAGACAAGCAUUCAUAAGGUGUGUUCAAGCUUGAUUGGAAAGUUGGACUCUCCAGAAUCAUUUCUUGAAGCAUUAUCAAAGCAAAUGACCACUGAUAAUAUAAAUAUGGUAUUUUCCACCACCAAACAUCAAAGUGAUUCACCAAUGUGGUUUGAGUUGAGGUACGGCAGAAUUACUAGUUCAACUCUUUAUGAAACCGCUCACUGUAGAACUAUAAAUGGUUCCCUUCUGAACGCAAUUAUGAGAGAACAUUCAAAAUUUACUUCCAUUGCGAUGAGUAGAGGGAAAAUACUAGAAAAAAAGUUCUAAAAGUAGUAAGCAAGAAAGAAAAGAUUGAAAUUGAAGAAGCUGGACUACUUCUUAAUGCCGAGUAUCCUAUUUUUGAAGCAACACCUGACGGGCUUACUGAAAAUUAUACAAUAGAAGUCAAAUGUCCUUCAACCAAAGCUGCCAUACUUUCCUAUGUGAAAGACAAUAAAAUAACACCAAAAUGUUGGACACAAGUACAACUGCAAAUGUUGUGUGCCAUAUGAUAACAGCAUUG